rnacentral:rRNA from 2 species
UUGACCUCGGAUCAGGUAGGAAUACCCGCUGAACUUAAGCAUAUCAAUAAGCCGG